rnacentral:rRNA from 1 species
CGUGAGAUGUUGGGUUAAGUCCCGCAACGAGCGCAACCCCUACCGUUAGUUGCCAUCAUUCAGUUGGGCACUCUAGCGGGACUGCCGACCUUCAAGUCGGAGGAAGGUGGGGACGACGUCAAGUCCUCAUGGCCCCUAUGUCCAGGGCUACACACGUGCUACAAUGGUCGGUACAAAGGGCUGCUAACCCGCGAGGGGGCGCUAAUCCCAAAAAGCCGACCUCAGUACGGAUAGGAGUCUGCAACUCGACUCCU